AUGGCGUCUUCUUCUUCCUCCUCGCAGCACGAGGGAGUGCUUCCACUGAUCCCUUGCCCUGAUUGCAAAGACAAGGUGGUCACCUACAUGUCUCGCGCCGGAGCUCGCUUCUACAAGUGCGUUAGGAAAGAUGCUGGACUAUGCGGCUUCAUUAGAUCUACGGACACGUACCUGCCGGAGCUGACCAGAGCUGGGCUCAGCCAGCCUUACGCGCUUCACGCCGCCAUUGCUAGGCACUCGGGCUCUCCACUUCGGCAGAGGUACAGGCGGGGCGACAACAUCGAAGACCGCAUGCAACCAGAGAUCCAGCCAGCACAAGUGCACAUGGAGGCGCAGGUGCAGCAGUAG
rnacentral:rRNA from 1 species